GUUCCCCGCCCAGCGCGGCGGCUCCGGGCGCGUCCCUGGGAGCGGCCCGCCCCGAGGCCUGCGGCGCCCGUCUGAGGGCUGCGGGACCCGCCUCGUCUUCGCCGAGGAGGUCGCGCGGCCGAGUGCCCGUCCGGAAUUCCGCGUCCCUGCCCCCGCUCCGCAGCCCGGUGCCAGCUCCCUCCGGGGCCGAAUCGGGGGAAAAAUAUAUUGCACUGAGAUGAGAUUCAGCAAACCAUAUUAAAAUGCCAGUGCUCCACAUGGACAAAAUCCUGGUACAUAUACAGCACUGCAUGGGCAAGCCACGUCGAAAUGGAGGAUGACAGUCUUCUAAUUGAGGAAGUAGAGACCUGAUUCGCUUUUAAUUACAUGUGUGUGAUGUGUGACAGGUUGUCAGGGAACAAUCUGGAUUCUCUCACACUGAUGGCUAAAAAUGCAAAGUAGCACAAUGCAUUGAUUCAGCUUGCAAACUGCUUUGUUAAGAAUCAGCUGAAGUGCAGCUGGGAAAUGUCCUCAUAAUAUUGUUCUCUUUCUUCUUUCCGAAAGGAACGCGCAGAGAUGUCCUGCAGUCAGGCCUAUGAGGAGCAGCUUGGGCAAGGUGCCACCUGGCUGAGCAGCAGUGACUCCGCAGAGGAUGAGCCAGGACUGGAAGCUGCCGGCUCCUUCUGCAGCACUGAUGUCCCAGCACCGCAUCCCAGAAAGCUGGCUGGGUUCUCCAGCUAAAACCCUGACCCCUCCCUUCUGCUGCAAAAGCUAUCGCCUGUUGCUUGAUUACAUCCAGAGGCAAAGAUUAAUAGAAAAUUUCAUUUCUGUUGCCUAAUAGAAGUGAUGUAACAGCAGCAAUGAUAGAGGAAAAACAAGAUGACUUGAAAACAUUUGCAGAAUGUACGUUUGGGUAAAAAAUCAUUUUAAACUUUAAGCUAACCAAGCAAUGGCUGAGCACACACGAUUUAAAAUUUCAUCUCAAUUUCACAAUGGCUUUACUGUGGUUUACCAAUCUCUCACGCAGUAACUGUUUUCAGGGGGGGUCUGGAGAUCAAAUCUGUGAGACUCCACCUCUGGAGAGUAAGAGUUCUGGUAUGAAAGAACGGUAAGGCUUCUCCCAAGUUAGAGACUCUAAAGGAAUAAUAAAUUCUGAAUUUAAAACUAUUCUGUUUCCUACAGAGAAUAUAGGGCUCUUCUUCCCAGGGAAGCAGUAAAAUCCUACAAUCUUGAAAGAGAUUUCCUGAACCAAGGAUCUGCCCUCGGGGAGGGGGAUGAACCAUUACCAUUACUUGAUGUGCCUGCUUGAGCAGUUAAUAAUUCUGGAGAGAAUUCGUAGAAGCAUCCUAUUGGAAAAGGGGAGAUAGAAGCUCCUGUUCUUUGGUUGUUCAAAACUUUACUCUGGCACAGAAGGAUAUCUUUGGGGCAGCCUCAGCUUGCUUUGAACUCCCUAGUCAUUAAAGCACAAGAAGGUGACUCCAUGAAUAGCAAAGCUGGGUGUGGGUUUUAAAGAGCUUGAAAAUCAGGAUUAGUAGAGCAGUUCUGCGCUGGCUAGUAACAAGGUGAAGCACUGCAGUCUGUUUCACACUGCCUUAGAGAAAAAAAAAGGGACUAUUUUAGUGAUAUUGCAGGUGGCCACAUACCAUAUCAACAGGACUAAGAUACAUUCUCGGAAUGCUGACCUUGCACAUUAUCUGCCACCAGCAUUCCACAGUUUGUGCAAAGCAUCUUUAAGCUUUUUAGGGAUUAUAACAGACCCAUUCAAAUAUUUACAUUUUCUGUUAUUUUCAUAUUCAAGUUUUAAAGUACAUGCACAUUUAACUCUGUAUUUCUUUGUUCCCAUCUGUUUGUAAUGCUGUACAGGGAAGUGACUGAGCUGGCUGAAAAAUAAGCAGUUUUGGGGGAAAGGAGGGAAAACUAUUCAUUUUGAUCAGUUUUAAAUACACUGCUAGAAGUCCUGGUAUUGAAUUUCCUAUCUAAGCUGCCCUUAGAGUAGAUCUGAAUAUUUAGACAUUAUGUCAGUUAGCACAAUUCAGUUUGCCUGUUGGUGUUGCUGUGAUGUCACAUUCCAUUUCAGCAAAGAUCCUUGCUCUUGCACUGCAAUCCAGCACAACACACACACAAAGGUAAAACUUAGGAUGGAAAAAACUACUAAUUAAUGUAUCAGAAAGGGAGGGCUUUUUUUUUUUUUAAUACAAUUUCUCUUCAGAAUUGCAAAACUAACAAACACAACUUAUUUCACACAAGUCCCUCUUUACUAGCUGUCUUGAUCAUCUUGGUCAAGAUGAGAUCAUCUUGAAAACUUGCCCUUUCGAAGCAACCCUAUUACACUGACCACUAAGUUUGUAAGUUUUUUAGUUUUUUUUUAAACACACAACCCUGUAGUUCAGUUAGUUCUAUCAGUUGACUUGAAAUUGUGGAACUCACCUCUGAAGAGAACAGGACAACUCUGUGUAGACUGCAAAAAGGUAACAAGAAGCCUAAUUACUCAUUAGCCUGGUUCAAAUAACAUUUAAAAGCUAAAUUAUAUGUGAAAGACAGCAAUACAAAAAGGAAAAAUAAUAAUUUGCAUACUCGCUAAAAAUUCUACAUUGCUGAAAUACUAUAUGCAGAGAAAAAUUAAGCAUGAAUGUAAACUUCAUAUAGUUUCCAUUUUUGUUUAGGUGUAAACACGAGAACAAGUAAAUACACGUUUGGUGCCAUGCUUUUAUUUAAAUGAAAGGAAAAAACUACAACAGUACCACAUAAGUAGCAAUGACAAUAUUUUACAGCACAGCAUUUGAAAAAAUAUGGAAGCUAUGCUCCAUAGAAGUGGACAAGUAAGCACACAAUACACUGUACAUUUUCCAACGUUGCCCAUUAAAUCAAUUAAAUAGCUGAAUUUGGCUUUAAACAGCCAAAUAAUAAAAACUAACAGUCAUCCUAAAAUAAAAUAAAAUAAAAAAAUCAGUAGCUGUUGUGACUGUUAGAAUACGAAAUUUUGCUCCAAAACCUAACAUGAUAGUUUGGCAAUUCAGUCAUAGCAACAAUAGUAAUACCCCUGAUGAAAGCACCAGUGUGUUCUGAAAAGGUCAGUGAUAAAUACUGGCCUUCACGGAAAGCUUCCUUAUAAUUUUCAUGUUUUCAAUUUAUUUUAAUUUUUUUAAUUUUUUUUUUAAACAUGAUCCCAACCAUAGACCCACUGUAAUUAGAAAAUUUGCAGGCUUAAAAAGGAAAAGCACAUCUAGCUUCACUUUUCCUGUAUUAAGUAAAACUUUAUACUGCGAGCAAUGAACUUUUCAGCUGCAUUAUUCACAUUCUACUUUUAAACAUUGCACAAAUCUUUCACCUGUUGACAAGUGUAGAUUUCUUUAAUACAUUCAGAUAUAUCUAAAACGAACCAGACAACUCCUCUGCUGUGUACUUAAGCUCACUUUGAUUAGAUCGAUGUGUGUCUUCACGGUGUUGCAAAAUUACCAGCUAAAUCAUAAUACACAUUUUAGAAAUGAAAAUCCUCCCAUUAUUAAACUUCUUGUGAAGUCCUUCGACAUGAGUAAGAGUUGAUUCCAGCCUUCUGGUUUCUUCUAUCAAUGUAUAUUAUACACAAUUUCAUACUGUUAUUCAACAUGUUCCUACAAUGGUAUUUGUAGGAACUGUCUAACAGGCAGAAUGUGCAAACUCUCUUGCCCCCAUUUAAUAUUAUUUAUAGCUAUAUACACAAUAUGUAUACACUUGAAAUAUAAGAGUUACAUAUCCUGGUGAUAUACAUGCAAGCAAUAGGAAUCUGCUAACCACAAAUAAUUUUGAGCCACAAACAUAUUAAACAUACAUUUUAAAGUGUUUUUUCUUUUUUUUUUUUCUUUUUUACAGAUUUAACAAAUAUACAUAAAUAUAAGAACAUAAAUUACAGUAAAACUGACAGCAUUUUCGAGAAAAUAUUUGUAACCCAGAUGCAUUGAUGCCUAAGGCUUCAUAAUAAUUUUAAAAAGUACUGUUCUAAACUGUUUAAUGGUAUCUCAUUCAGGUGCAUCUUUAUAUAAGUAAAUGAGUACAUCAUAGUAGUGAGGCAUUGUUUCUCUCAAAGCACUUUAAUGAGAGAAAUAUGAACUUAAUUUUAGUGUCCCUAUGAAAGAGGAUGGAGUACACACUUAUAGCACAACACUGUCUUAUGUUAAUGCAGGUGUCGCAACACUGAAACAGAACAGAAUCACAAAUCAUUCAAGUCUUUUCCUGAGAAUGAGAUUUUUCCCCCAACAAAUCCUCUGGUGUACACUAUCAAAAUAGCUACAGAUUUAGGGGAGGUUUCAAGUUUGUGGUUUGGUUUUUGUUUUCUUUUCUUUUUUUUUUUUUUUUU